CCUACGGGGGGCAGCAGUGAGGAAUAUUGGUCAAUGGACGAGAGUCUGAACCAGCCAAGUAGCGUGAAGGAUGACUGCCCUAUGGGUUGUAAACUUCUUUUAUAUGGGAAUAAAAUGUUCCACGUGUGGGAUUUUGUAUGUACAAUAUGAAUAAGGAUCGGCUAACUCCGUGCCAGCAGCCGCGGUAAUACGGAGGAUCCGAGCGUUAUCCGGAUUUAUUGGGUUUAAAGGGAGCGUAGGAGGAUUGGUAAGUCAGUUGUGAAAGUUUGGGGCUCAACCGUAAAAUUGCAGUUGAAACUGGCAGUCUUGAGUACAGUAGAGGUGGGCGGAAUUCGUGGUGUAGCGGUGAAAUGCUUAGAUAUCACGAAGAACUCCGAUUGCGAAGGCAGCUCACUGGACUGCAACUGACACUGAGGCUCGAAAGUGUGGGUAGCAAACAGGAUUAGAUACCCGAGUAGUC
rnacentral:rRNA from 1 species